rnacentral:rRNA from 1 species
AUUGAACGCUGGCGGCAGGCCUAACACAUGCAAGUCGAGCGAGCGGCGGACGGGUGAGUAAUGGAUGGGGACUGCCCGAUAGAGGGGGAUAACUAAUGGAAAAGGUGGCUAAUACCGCAUACUAUCGGAUAACCCAUAUGGGAUUAGCUAGUAGGUGGGGUAAAGGCUCACCUAGGCGACGAUCUCUAGCUGGGCUGAGAGGAGGAUAAGCACAACUGGGACUGAGAAACGUCCCCGACUCCUGCGGAGGCAGCAGUUGGUAAUAUUGCACAAUGGGCGCAAGCCUGAUUCAGCCAUGCCGCGUGUAUGAAGAAGGCCUUAGGGUUGUAAAGUCCUUUCAGCGGGGAGGCGUUACCCGCAGAAGAAGCACCGGCUAACUCCGUGCCAGCAGCCGCGGUAAUUC